rnacentral:rRNA from 1 species
AGCGAGCCUGCGAAGGCAAGCGGAUCUCUUAAAGCUGUUCUCAGUUCGGACUGCAGUCUGCAACUCGACUGCACGAAGCUGGAAUCGCUAGUAAUCGCGGAUCAGCACGCCGCGGUGAAUACGUUCCCGGGCCUUGUACACACCGCCCGUCACACCAUGGGAGCCGGUAAUACCCGAAGUCAGUAGUCCAACCUCGUGAGGACGCUGCCGAAGGUAGGAUUGGCGACUGGGGUGAAGUCGUAACAAGGUAAC